UACGUAGGAUGCAAGCGUUGUCCGGAUUUAUUGGGCGUAAAGCGAACGUAGGCGGCUUCUUAAGUUUGGUCUUAAAGACCGGGGCUCAACCCCGGGAAUGGACUGAAUACUGGGAGGCUAGAGGAUGUCAGAGGAAAGUGGAAUUCCUAGUGUAGCGGUGAAAUGCGUAGAUAUUAGGAGGAACACCAGUGGCGAAAGCGACUUUCUGGGACAUUUCUGACGCUGAGGUUCGAAAGCUCGGGGAGCAAACAGG
rnacentral:rRNA from 1 species